UUUUUAGAGUUUGAUCCCUGGCUCAGGAUGAACGCUGGCGGCGUGCUUAAUACAUGCAAGUCGAACGAAGAGUGUAGCAAUACUCUCUUAGUGGCGAAUGGGUGCGUAACACGUGGGUGACCUACCCCGAAGUGUGGAAUAACAGUUCGAAAGAACUGCUAAUACCGCAUGUGGUCCCGGGUUUUUAGAAAGCCGGGUCUAAAGUCCCCCUUUGGGGAGACGCUUCGGGAGGGGCCUGCGGUCCAUCAGCUAGUUGGUAGGGUAAUGGCCUACCAAGGCAACGACGGGUAGGGGACCUGAGAGGGUGACCCCCCACACUGGCACUGAAACACGGGCCAGACGCCUACGGGUGGCAGCAGUAAGGAAUAUUGCACAAUGGGCGAAAGCCUGAUGCAGCAACGCCGCGUGCGCGAUGAAGGCCUUCGGGUCGUAAAGCGCUUUUAGGGAGGAUGAGGAAGGACAUACUCCCAGAAUAAGGACGGCAA
rnacentral:rRNA from 1 species